UCAACUGAAACACACAAUUUUACAGUAUUUCAGUACCAUAACUUAGCAUAAAUCCAAAAAUAAAUUUAACUUCACUUUUACCUAGCUCUAACGUGCUAAACUCGACGUUCUUGAAAUUUUGUGUUUCGGGGUUACUAUUCACUACACUAUUCAAGUCAAAUUGUUGACUUUCUAAGGCUUAAUAGGUAUGGGAACUCCAACUUCACCCACAUACCACAUUUUGGUCACUAAAUUUGUUGGUUUUGGUUGUUUAUUCAAAUUCUAAGUCUUUUAGGCAAAUUUGAUAAAUUUUCAGUUUUGGUGUCUAAGGUUGCACUGUUCCAUUGGUCAUUUUACUGUUGGAAUUUGGCAAAACUUUCUUCAUAGAAAAUGUUCCCUAUUGUCUUAAGUUUAUUCUCCUUUUUGAAUCACUCCAAUUGGAGUUUUGUAGCUCAAGUUAUAGCCAUUUGAAUCAUGGCUGCCGGAUUGGACUUAACCCAGAUUUCUGGGCAAAUUUUGGUUCUGGCAGUUUUAGGUCACCAACUUUGGGUGGCUAAAUGACUUGGUU
rnacentral:misc_RNA from 1 species